CACUCUGUUCUGCCACCCAGUGAGGAAGGUGCCUGCUUCUCCUUUGCCUUCUGCCAAGAUUGCAAGUUUCCUGAGGCCUCCCCAGCAAGAUGGAACUGCACUUCAUCACCGAAGCAACAAGAUGUGGAGCAUGAGCCAUUCAACCUUUGAAGAUAACUCAGAUUAAUUUGGCCAGCCUCUCCGUCUGAGAAUCUGAGAUCAUAAGAAGGUUCCCUUCCAACUGAGGACGUCUUCUCAUGGAGAAAAAAGUUACGAACAAGAGAAGAAAAGUGCCUUGCUCAAGUACACGUAGCAUAAAACUAAGUGACUGAGCUGGAAUACCAACAGCAGCCUAAUAACUUUAGUCCAGUGAUUUUUCCACCAAAGACUCAUCAGCAACUGAUAACAUGGCUUUCAUCAAUAUGCCUAG